rnacentral:rRNA from 1 species
AUCCGGUGCUUGCAUCGGGGAUUAGUGGCGAACGGGUGAGUAACACGUGAGUAACCUGCCCUUAACUCUGGGAUAAGCCUGGGAAACUGGGUCUAAUACCGGAUAUGACUCCUCAUCGCAUGGUGGGGGGUGGAAAGCUUUAUUGUGGUUUUGGAUGGACUCGCGGCCUAUCAGCUUGUUGGUGAGGUAAUGGCUCACCAAGGCGACGACGGGUAGCCGUCCUGAGAGGGUGACCGGCCACACUGGGACUGAGACACGGCCCAGACUCCUACGGGAGGCAGCAGUGGGGAAUAUUGCACAAUGGGCGCAAGCCUGAUGCAGCGACGCCGCGUGAGGGAUGACGGCCUUCGGGUUGUAAACCUCUUUCAGUAGGGAAGAAGCGAAAGUGACGGUACCUGCAGAAGAAGCGCCGGCUAACUACGUGCCAGCAGCCGCGGUAAUACGUAGGGCGCAAGCGUUAUCCGGAAUUAUUGGGCGUAAAGAGCUCGUAGGCGGUUUGUCGCGUCUGCCGUGAAAGUCCGGGGCUCAACUCCGGAUCUGCGGUGGGUACGGGCAGACUAGAGUGAUGUAGGGGAGACUGGAAUUCCUGGUGUAGCGGUGAAAUGCGCAGAUAUCAGGAGGAACACCGAUGGCGAAGGCAGGUCUCUGGGCAUUAACUGACGCUGAGGAGCGAAAGCAUGGGGAGCGAACAGGAUUAGAUACCCUGGUAGUCCAUGCCGUAAACGUUGGGCACUAGGUGUGGGGACAUUCCACGUUUUCCGCGCCGUAGCUAACGCAUUAAGUGCCCCGCCUGGGGAGUACGGCCGCAAGGC